CCCAAGUUUUCUCAUAUGCCAGGCAGGCACUUUACCAUUGAACUAUGUACUUCCACAGCCCCCAAAACCUUUUUUAAAACAUGUUAAAACCACUACUAUACUCAAGGGGGGAGAAAAAAAUCUCCCUAUAGAGCUUUUCAGAAUAUUCAGAGCUCAUUCGCCGUCCUUAGCGCCUGACUACUAAGACCUUAAAUCCAAACUACCAAGUCCUAGGCACCUCCCACCCUAUCAGGUAGCUUACCUCACAGCCUUUUAACAGUUAGAUUGGGCAUCACGGUAGCUCCAUGUUUGUUUGUUUAUACCCCUCUGCUCUUGGUGAAUAUUAACAUUCUUGGGAGGAGGGUGGAUAGUGAGCCUGAAGGAUGUGAGGAGGCCUUGAUAGAAGUGGGACGAGGCCAGCCCCUGGCCUGCCUCGGCCUGCAGGAUUGUUAAAUUUGUGGCCUCUGGAUUUAUGUACUAGCAACCAGCCGAGACACGGCUAAAGCCAACCAGAUAAGCACUGCAGUGCAAGGUGGCACUUCCUUCUUCAAGCUGUGGGCAGUGAUCCUAAGUGAGGGGUGACCCUCUGCCAGCAGGAGUCGUUCUGGAGAAGCCAUACAACUGGGCCCAAGCUCUUCUAAGGAACUGUUUUGGGAACUGCUGCAAAGACCAAGUGCGCAUUUGGUUUACCAGCAGGGCAGUGGGAGCCGGGCCUAACAUCUUAGAAAAUAACUUCCUGAGGGAGAGACAGUUCUGGUUCAGUGAUGACUGCCUUUGGAGCUAGAAAGCUGGAGACCUCAGAUCUCAAGAGCUCCUGAGAGUCAUCUUGUAUGAGAAAAACUUUCUCCUAAACUAACAGAGGACCAAGAAAAUCACAGCCGCGAGAUAGCAAUCUGUCCUGAAUCUCCCCACUUCUGCCUGGGGACUGCAGUCAACACCCCAAGCACGGUGCCCAGCGCCAGCCUGACCCAGUGCGAUGCGAGGGAACCGGAGCGGCAUGUACCCUCCCAGCUGCUGUGGGAGGGCUGCCUCUGCAGUGUUUCUGGGACCCUGGGUUUCAUGUUCCAAGGGUGUACAUGGCAUUUCACUCAUUCCCAAUCAAGAGUUCCGGUGCUGCCCUCUUCCGAUUUCCACCAUGGGAAAGGGAAACAGGGAAGGGAACUACAGAGCUCUGCACACGCCGGACCCAUACCUCUCCAAACUGGCGAGUCGGUCAUAUUCAAGCGUCAUUUCCCAGUGUAAAUCUGUAGCAGCAUGGGCUCCCAAAUCUCAGAGCAGUGGUCCUGGCUUCCUGGUUUUUAAAUCCGGAAGCAUUUGUGGAAUUUAUGUGCCAUAUCUUUCCAACCCUGCUGAAAACUACUGCCAUCAUCUAGUGGUCAGAGCACAGACUUGUAGAAGCCAGGGCAGUUUCUCUGUGCUUGGCUCCCAGCAGGCCCCAAAUUCCCUGAGACAGUGGUUCUCAACUGGGCGGAUUUGCCCCCAGGGGAUGUUUGCCAAUACCUGGAAACAUUUUUAUUGUCAUAACUGGGGUUGGGAGAGGGAGAGAUGGGGAGAAGCACUUAGUGGGUAAAAGUGAGAGAUGCUUCUAGACAUCCUAUGAUGCCCUCAACAAAGUUUUUUAAAAUUUUUUAAUUUUUAUUUUUUAGUACCAGGCAUUGAACCCAGGGGCACUUAACCACUGAGCCACAUCCCCAGCCCUUUUUAUUUUUUAUUUGAGACAGGAUCUCAGUAAGU